AUUUGAAAUCUGGCGUCCUCAGGGCGUCCGAGUUGUAAUCUAUAGAGGCGUUUUCCGUGCCGGACCGUGUCCAAGUUCCUUGGAACAGGAUAUCAAAGAGGGUGACAAUCCCGUACUUGACACGACGACCGGUGCUCUGUGAUACGUCUUCUACGAGUCGAGUUGUUUGGGAAUGCAGCUCAAAAUGGGUGGUGAGUUCCAUCUAAAGCUAAAUAUUGGCGAGAGACCGAUAGCGAACAAGUACCGUGAGGGAAAGAUGAAAAGCACUUUGGAAAGAGAGUUAAACAGUACGUGAAAUUGUUGAAAGGGAAACGAUUGAAGUCAGUCGUGACCGAGAGGCUCAGCCGGCUCUGCCGGUGUAUUCCCCUCGGUCGGGUCAACAUCAGUUUUGUCCGGUGGAUAAGGGCGGUAGGAAGGUGGCACCCUCGGGUGUGUUAUAGCCUGCCGUCGCAUACAUCGGGUGAGACUGAGGAACGCAGCUCGCCUUUAUGGCCGGGGUUCGCCCACGUCCGAGCU
rnacentral:rRNA from 1 species